CCCUUAGAUGUUCUGGGCCGCACGCGCGCUACACUGAUGCAUGCAACGAGUGUACCUUGGCCGAGAGGCCUGGGAAAUCUGUGAACGUGCAUCGUGAUAGGGAUAGAUUAUUGCAAUUAUUAAUCUUGAACGAGGAAUUCCUAGUAAACGCAAAUCAUCAGUUUGCAUUGAUUACGUCCCUGCCCUUUGUACACACCGCCCGUCGCACCUACCGAUUGAAUGGUCCGGUGAAGCCUCGGGAUUGUGAUGAGUCUCCUUUAUUGGGGGUUCGUCGUGAGAACUUGUCUAAACCUUAUCAUUUAGAGGAAGGUGAAGUCGUAACA
rnacentral:rRNA from 1 species